UUUCCGUAGGUGAACCUGCGGAAGGAUCAUUAAAAAAUGGAACUCUUUCAAAGAGUUCAUUAAUAAUCCCUACCCUUUGUGAAUUUGUUUGUUUGAAAUAAUUUUUUUUAUUAAAAAUUAUUGAAUGUCUUUCCCUGUUUUUUUGGUGGAAAAAUGGUAAAACGUUUGGAAACCGAAAAACAGGGGAAUGGUAUUCAUAUAAUUUUUAUUAAAAGACCUUUUUUUUAAAUUAAACUUUUUGUAUUCAUUUGUCUAAAAAUUAUUUUUAUAAUAUAAAACAACUUUUGACAAUGGAUCUCUUGGUUCUCGCAACGAUGAAGAACGCAGCAAAGUGCGAUAAGUAGUGUGAAUUGCAGAAUACGUGAAUCAUCGAAUCUUCGAACGCAUAUUGCACUUUUUUAGUUUACUAAAAAGUAUGUCUGUUUGAGUAUCAGUAAAAUAUUCUCAUAAAAAAAUUUGUUUUUUUUUAUGGUUCUGAGUGUUUUACAACGAUAACAAGUUGUUUCACUUUAAAUUCUUUGUUAUCAAAAAAAAAUCAUUUAAAAACUAAUUUUAAAAGAUUUUUUUAAAAUUGGAUAAAAUUUUCCUGUAAAAAGGAAUAACCUUAAACAAUUUUAGAAAAAUUAAAAUUGGUUUGAUUUCUUUUUUGAAAUUAAAAAGGAAAAAAGUUAAAUUAACUUGAUCUCAAACCAGAUAAGAGUACCCGCUGAACUUAAGCAUAUCAAUAAGCGGAGGAAAAGAAACUAACUAGGAUUCCCUUAGUAACGGCGAGUGAAGCGGGAAGAGCUCAAAUUUGAAAUCUUCAAGGUUUUACCUUGACGAAUUGUAGUUUAAAGAAGUGUUUUCUGUUGGUGUUUUGGUAAAAGUUCUUUGGAAUAGGACAUCAUAGAGGGUGAGAAUCCCGUAUUUGACCAUUACUUCCAGCGUUGUGAUACACUUUCAAAGAGUCGGAUUGUUUGGGAAUGCAGUCCAAAAUGGGUGGUAAAUUUCAUCUAAAGCUAAAUAUUGGCGAGAGACCGAUAGCGAACAAGUACCGUGAGGGAAAGAUGAAAAGAACUUUGAAAAGAGAGUUAAACAGUACGUGAAAUUGUCAAAAGGGAAGCGUUUGACACCAGUGUUGUUUUCUCGAAAAUCAAUUAAAAUGGUUGAUUUUGUAUUGUAUGACCUUAUCAGCUUCUUACUUUUUUCCGAGUCUUUCUUAAUGCACUUUUCGGUUAACAAGUCAACAUCAAUUUCUUUUGUUGUAAAAGAGUCAUUGGAAGGUGGCUUUCCUUCGGAGAAAGUGUUUAUAGCCUUACUUCUGCAAUCGGAGAGAUUGAGGUCUGCAGCGUAGAUCCUUCGGGUUAGAUACUUUGUGCUAAGUUGUAGUUUUUAUAGACAACUUGUUGACUAUGUUAAUCAUGUAGCUUACUCGUUUGCUAUUUUACCUACGCUUAGGAUGUUG
rnacentral:misc_RNA from 1 species